rnacentral:rRNA from 1 species
UACGUAGGGCGCAAGCGUUGUCCGGAAUUAUUGGGCGUAAAGCGCGCGCAGGCGGCCUUGUAAGUCUGAUGUUUAAUCUCGGAGCUCAACUCCGAUUCGCAUUGGAAACUGCAAAGCUUGAGUACAGAAGAGGAAAGUGGAAUUCCACGUGUAGCGGUGAAAUGCGUAGAGAUGUGGAGGAACACCAGUGGCGAAGGCGACUUUCUGGGCUGUAACUGACGCUGAGGCGCGAAAGCGUGGGGAGCAGACAGG